UGUUGGGAAUUGAACUUAAAACCUCUGGAAGCAGAUGGUACAUUUAUCUCUGAACCAUCUCUUCAGCCCCUUUAAAUUUUUUAUUUCAGAUAUUUAACUUUAAUGUGCAUGAGUGUCUGCCUAAGUGUAUAUAGAUGCACAUGCGCAUGUCAGAGCCUGCCGAGAUUAGAAGAGGAGUUAGAUGCUCUGGAAUUGGAGUUACACCUGUGAUCUGUCAUCUGAGUGCUGGGAACUGAACUGGGUCCUUUGGAAGAGAAACAAGUGCUCCGAACCACUGAGCCAACCCCAGCCCAGGCCUAAAAUUCAAUGUUUAUGUAGGUCGUAUUGGACACAAAAUUGCAGAAAUCUUUCUGCCCCUGCCUUCCAAGAGCAUGAGCCAUCAUACUUGCUUGCUUAUACAUGGACGUUGUAAAAUUUAAUAGCAAUACUUAUUUUUUUGAAACAGGAUCUCACUAUGUAUUCCUCACAGGCUUGGAAGGCAGAGAGGUCCACUUGCCUCUGCCUUGAGUGUUGGCAUUAAAGAUGUUCAUCACCGUGCUCGACAGCAACCUUUACAUUUUUAAAAUUCUAGGAGCUAGGCAGAUGGCUUAGUGUAUAAAAGGCUUGCCAUGAAAUAUGAGGACCUGACUUUGAAUCCACAUAAGACAAGCACAGUAGCUAGCAUCUGAUCCCAGUGCUACUAAAACAAAAUAGGAAGUAGAAACAGGAAAGAUCCUGGAGACUUGUAGGCUGGCUAGCCUGCUGUAUGCAGUAGUGCAAGAGAAGCGACCUUGUGUUUAACAAGGUUUGUCCUCUGAUCCCCACCUAUGCCCACUUGUUGUGUUGUAUGCUUCACAUACAGAUUUUUAAAAUGCUAGGGCUAGGGAUAUGGCUCAGUCAGAGAAAAGUGCUUGCCACGCAAGCAUGAAGGACCUGAAUUUGGAUUCCUGUCACAUAUAUAAAGAAAAAACAGGGUCAAUAGCACAUAUCUAGGAGGCAGACUAUGCCUUGGGCAUGCAGGCCAGCCAGCUUAGUUGAAUUUGAUGAGAAACCUUGUUUCAAAAAAAAAUAAAGUGGAGUGAUGCUGAAGCGAUGGUUGAGUGGUUGCCUUGCAGAGGACUGCAGUUCAGUCCCCAGCACACAGAGAGCUCACAAGAGUCUAUGAACUAGAGUUCCAGGGGAUUAGUUGUCUUCUGGACUUAUAUGCCCAUGCCCCCACAAAGAUACGCAGACAUAAU
rnacentral:lncRNA from 1 species